rnacentral:rRNA from 1 species
UACGUAGGGUGCAAGCGUUAUCCGGAAUUAUUGGGCGUAAAGAGCUCGUAGGCGGUUUGUCGCGUCUGCUGUGAAAACUGGAGGCUCAACCUCCAGCCUGCAGUGGGUACGGGCAGACUAGAGUGCGGUAGGGGAGAUUGGAAUUCCUGGUGUAGCGGUGGAAUGCGCAGAUAUCAGGAGGAACACCGAUGGCGAAGGCAGAUCUCUGGGCCGUAACUGACGCUGAGGAGCGAAAGCAUGGGGAUCGAACAGG